AACGAACGCUGGCGGCGUGGAUAAGACAUGCAAGUCGUGCGGGCUGUAGUGUUAGCAAUGAUAAUACAGUUAGCGGCGCAAGGGUGCGUUAUACGUAAGUAAUAUUCAUUAAAGUUUAGAAUAACCACGGGAAACCGAUGCUAAUGCUAAAUAAUACAUGUCAAAAACAUGUUAAAGCUGGGGACUUGUGCCUAGCGCUUUUCUAUUAGCUUACGGCCUAUCAGCUAGUUGGUAAGGUAAUAGCUUACCGAAGGCUAAGACGGGUAGCUGGUCUGAGAGGACGACCGAGCCACACUGGAACUGAGACACGGUCCGAGACGACCUACGGGUGGCGAGCCGAGUCGAGAAUUUUUCACCGAUGGGGGAAACCCUGAUGGAGCGACGCCGCGUGGGGGAUGAAAGACUUUGGUCUGUAAACCCCGUGUCAUCUGUGAUCAAUGUGCGGAUUUUAAUAAACUCCAGCACUGAUAGUAGCAGAAGAGGAAGAGACGGCUAACUCUGUGCCAGCAGCCGCGGUAAUACAGAGGUCUCAGGCGUUGUUCGGAUUUACUGGGCGUAAAGGGUGUGUAGGUGGAUAAAAUAGUUAAAUGUGAAAUCUUAAAGCCUAACUUUAAAACUGCUUUUAAUACUUUUUAUCUAGAGUAACAGAGGGGAAAUUGGAAUUCUCGGUGUAGCAGUGAAAUGCGUAGAUAUCGAGAGGAACACCAGUGGCGAAGGCGAAUUUCUGGCUGUUUACUGACACUGAGGCACGAAAGCUAAGGGAGCAAACGGGAUUAGAUACCCCGGUAGUCUUAGCUGUAAACGGUGCUCACUUGCUGCAAGUUUAAAUAUUUGUGGUGAAGCUAACGCGAUAAGUGAGCCGCCUGGGGAGUACGUUCGCAAGAUUAAAACUCAAAGAAAUUGACGGGGGCCUGCACAAGCGGUGGAGUAUGUGGCUUAAUUCGAUGCAACGCGAAGAACCUUACCUAGUCUUGACAUGUAGCUUUUAGAAUAUAGAAAUAUAUUUGACCCAGCAAUGGGAGGCUACACAGGUGCUGCAUGGCUGUCGUCAGCCCGUGUCGUGAGAUGUUGGGUUAAGUCCCGCAACGAGCGCAACCCCUUUAUUCUGUUGCAACCAUAUAAGGUGAGCACUCCGAAUAGACUGCCUCGUCUAAACGAGGAGGAAGGUGGGGACGACGUCAAGUCAGUAUGGCCCUUACGGCUAGGGCUGCACACGUACUACAAUGUUCAACACAAUAAGAUGCUAAGCAGCGAUGCGGUGCAAAUCCCAAAAAUUGAACCCAGUUCAGAUUGUUGUCUGCAAUUCGACAGCAUGAAGUUGGAAUCGCUAGUAAUGGCACAUCAGCUACGGUGCCGUGAAUACGUUCCCAGGCCUUGUACACACCGCCCGUCACAUCAUGAAAGCCGGUUGUACCCAAAGUCAAAAUGGCAUCCAAAAGGACCAUUUGCCUAAGGUAUGGCUGGCGAUUGGGAUG
rnacentral:rRNA from 1 species